AUGAACAAUGUGAAAAACACCACCCAGUUUAUUCAUUAGAUAAAAUUAAAAAAAAAGUGCAUAUUUCAACCCCAAAUUUUUGCUCUAGUCUAAUUUACAACUCCAAACUUUAAUACCGUCUAAAUUACAACCCCAAGUCUCAAAACCGAUCAGGAAAUCCUCCCCUCCCUGUUGACCGGCUUUGACCUGAGGUGAUCAGUUUUGACUAGUCAACGGGUCCAAUCAGCAUGCCACGUUAGAUUUUUUUCAAAAUUUCAAGAAAAAGUAAAUAAAAAUCUGUAAGAUCAGGAAAAAAUAUUUAAAAAUCAAAAUUCCAAAAAAAUUGUUUGCGAAAAAAGCUAGGGAAAAUUAAAAAAUAUAUUUUUUCUGGAAAUUAUUUUUUCAGGAAUUUUCUGGAAAUUUAGUCUUUGGGUCUUUUCUGGAAAUUAUUGUUCUUUUGGAAAUUCAUUUUUUUUAUUUUCCCUGUUUUUCGGAAAUUUGAUUUCUUAUUUAUUUUCCUGAAUUUUCUUCAAUUUUACAGAUUUUUUUCCUGGAAAUUUUGCAUUUUUCUGACGUGGCAUGCUGACUGGACCUGUUGACUAGUCAAAACUGGUCAACCAGGUCAAAACCGGCCAACAGAGAGGGGAGGGUUGAAUCCUAGCCGGUUUUGAGAGUUAGGGAUUGUAAUUUAGACAGUCUUGAAGUUUGGGGUUGUAAAUCAGACUAGGGCAAAAGUUUAGGGUUGAAAUAUGCACUUCUCUCUAACAUAAAUACGUCACUGAGAAAGGUGCUAAUUUCAUUCAACAAUUCCAAAUAAUCUUUAACCUAGCUGAUUCAUCUACCUUAUUCGUUACUCUGUUACAUUGUUGAAACCUAAAAAUAGAAAAAUCACAAGCAAGAUGAUAACAAUCCUCCAAAAUCAGCGCCGCUUCGCCAGCUCGCCCGGACGAUCAAUUUCACAGGCUUCUCCAGACCUCUCUUGCUUUGUGGCAGCUAAAUGAGAUCUUAAAACUCUAAUAGUGUGGAUGGUUUUGAGAAAAAGACUGGUUAGCAAAGUCUUGGAUUUUUCAAGAAGCUUUCAGCACUCGAUGCUCCUAAGAGGAUGAAAAAUGUCCUACAACAUGUUUAAGAGAAUGAGGGAUGCACAGACGGAUGGGAAAAUCAUGGUUCUACUAUUCAAAAUAUACUAACACAGCUCUGUGCACAUAUCUCAUUCUGUCAAUGAUGGCCUAAGACAUUGUAUUUAGUUCUUAUCUGCAGCAAUUGGUGAAUUGUCCUAUAAUGAGCAGAAAGAUAGAGGCACCCAAAAAAAGUUAAAAACUGGGGAAAUCAAUGGCUCAGACAUCCAAGGAAGGAAUUAGCAGCAUUAGCUCUCAAGCCUGGCAGGGCGAAAGCUCUUAGGCGGCAUCUGCGAAUGUUUUGAGAAACAAGCCUUUGUUCAAUCAUCAUCGCCAUUAUUUUCCUCAAUUUAGAAUCAACAACACCGAAUACUAUGUCAAGCAAGAAAUGUGAUCACACACAAAACGGCCAUGUGUACAUCUGAAUCACAGCCACAGGUUCUUAUCAAAUGUAAAAAUCUCUAUCAGCACAAUGUAGGCAUCAGGGCCAAGAAAACAGAUAAAAUUAUUUCAAGAGAAAAGAAAGGAUUGCCCUCAGAGACACAUUUCGAAUCACACAUACAGCUGAAACAAGCAGUUGCAAAUGGGAUAUACACCCCACAACAAACCAGAGAGGUAUAGAUAGAGGGAUGUACACUUACAGCAGCAGCAAAGCAGCGGCUGUUAGUGUCAUGCGGCACUUCCUGGUCUAGAGUUCUUCACCGAGACAGAUAAUAACAACAAAAAGGAAAGAAGAACACAAGAUUAAGCAAUGCUCAGUGGAAAGAGAAGUCGUUUUUGGUUUGAAGGCUCACGGUGACUGAUGCCACCACUGCCAAAAACCUAUAUGAAUCAUCAUCGCAUCACUAGAACUAACAUGAUAAUAAAUGGAAACAAGAAAGAAAUUGGCAGAAGAGAAUGAAAGGAACAGGCUUCAGUGUGUGUAACAACAUGAAUCGAUCAAUGGCAGACAAGUCCGCCUCACCGAAAUCCGCUAAGAUCCUUUCGGACCUGAAUCAUCACCAGCCAACCAAUCCAAUUCACUUCACACUAACGAGAUAACCAGUUUUAAACCAUUUAUUUGUGAAUGUGUCCAAAACACCUCAACGAGACGACAAGAAUGCCGCCCUCGGACAAGGGACGAUGCUUCGGUGCCUUAAGGCACCUACCUUUGUGUCUAAGACAUGGGGGCCCAACAGAUGGCUGGCCCACAUGCCGGUGAUCCAAAGGCAGGUGCCUUUAAGGCACCGAAGCUGCGUCCGGAGGAUAUUUGGAUUAUAUCCAUCUCACAAACAAAGAAAUUGCCUCAAAAUAGUAAAAAGCUUUGGCACAGAGUGAGUUUGCUUUUGUUUCACACAGAAAUCUCGAAAAUAUGUGUUUUGCAUAGUCGUUGGAUUGCAUGUGUUAGCUUGAAUCGUCUACAUCUGAUCAAAAUAAUAAAAAGCUUUGGGACAGAGUGAGACUGCUUUUCUUUCACACAAAAAAAUCUCAAAGAUAUUAACAUGUGUUUUGUAUAGUCGUUGGAUUGCGUAUGUGUUAGAUACGAAUCGUAUACAUCUGAUCACUGCAUUAAGGACAAUAAGCGUAGCCAAAUUUACAGUUCAACAGUUGUUUCAACCAAACAGAACAGCCAGUUUUAGUUAUUGUAAAAAUAGCUGCAGUGGUUAGCGGAUCCUAGAUAUCUUUAAUUUGUUAUUUUACUUCCUGAUGCAAGAAAAAAUAGGCAGGCCUUCUACUACCAGAACUGGAAAAAACUUGCAAAUCCACACUUACGUAGAAACCAGAUCCAUUUAGACUCUCAGUGAAUGGCACUGUUUUUCCACAUGUAAAGAACCAUCGAAAGCAGUCUUGCCAAAUCCCCUGCUAUGCUCCCCCGUCUCGCCAAAUCCUUCCGUCUCAUCCUCAGGUCAAAGAAGAAACAAAUCAAUUCUUCAACGAGAGGAAGAGACUUCGCGAGGAAUCACCGAGAGAGGAGAGCACAACAACGCAGAUGGUCUGAGCGAAGCACGCUUCCUCCGGCCUAGGAUUCGGUGUGGUUAAAGCAAAGUAGUCAUCAUCGAGCCACAGAUCGGUUAGCAAAAGAUCGAACUCAAAACCAUGGAUUCGAGAAUUAGAUCGGAAACUAGAAAGAACGCAAAACGCAAGAUGUUUGACCUACGAGAAAAUGCGUGAAUCUAAUGGAAGAAGCCACAUGUCCAUAGGUCCUCGCUAUGAUAUAGCACCUCUUCAAAAAGCUCCAGAUCCGCUCGGUGGCGAUCCGAUCUUGAACACGAGAAGAGUGCGGCGAAAGGGCGCAAAUCUAAAGAAGAGACAAACUAGAAAAGAUGUGAAAUUUGCAAAUAACAGAAACGAAGAUGGCACAAACUUGCUCCUGUGUUCGACCGAUUAGACGAUGGCUCUAGGGGAAGGGAAGGUUGAAUCCGGCGGCGCAGACGCGGGGGUUACAGGAGGGCGUGGCGCUGGGUAUUUAUACACCUCUUCUAGGGCAUAUGCUAAAACGGCCGGAUUUCAGAUAAACCCAUCUAUAACUCUUGGGCCAGGCCAUAGUUUUCGGAUGCGGCCCAGUCCCCCAACCAUGUGUGUUUCUUAGUCCAGCUCGAAAGAAAAAAUAUGUCUGUUAUAAAAAAAAGUCUAAAAAAAGCUCAAAAGAAAAGUGUGUUUCUUAGUUGUACUCUAUUCAGGUUUUUUUACUCUGCGUAUAAACUUUGUCUUAAGUCAAACUUUAUACGGGCUCACUGUGAUUUACCGGUCAUUUUAGUAUUAAUGUGAUUACAUACAAAAAGUGCAUUUCAAUCGGUGCUUAUUGCCUUACCAAAGAAUUGAUGGUUCUAUUUCAAAAUUAAAUAAGGCGUGGCCCAGUUAAAGGUGGUUCUUAGGGAAAACCAACAGCAAAAAAUGAACAAACCCGAAAAUGAAGGAGGAGGGAUGGGCAAGGUGGAUGAAAAAGGGGAUGAUCGGCAUUAGCCUUACGUAUUUUUAAGUAGGAGAGAUACAAGAGACGUGCAUUUUCUACACACACACACACACACAAUACGGAAGACGUGCAUGUGCAUGUGGGUGUCUUUGUUAGAGUCUUUCUAGUGUUAGCAUGAUACAUUUGCUAAUAAAAUCAUUUUGAUUUUUUCUUUUGUCGUGGUGGUGCCACGGAGCAUAAAUUAUUGUGUUCUAGUAGAACCAAUUAUGUGAAUAUAACGUGUCUAUUUUUGUGUUCUGUUUCUUUUAUUAGUUUUGUUUUUUAGUUUGAUGCGGAAUUCCAUAAUAUGGUGAAGAUCUUAUUGUUCGAUAUUCACCACUUCUAGGGGGUAUCCCCAGCUCAAGUCCGUUCAUCACGCACAAUUUCCCUUCUUUUUUAAUGGGUCACUUGCCGAAGCAUUAGAAAACCUUUAUUGGCAAUCAAGAUCGUGGGAUUGAACGAGUGACAAUGUACGUGUUCUAGUCCAAUUGCAAUCUAUUUACGAAUUGACAUCACGACGAAGAUGUUCCAGUAAUUUUCAUUUUAGUUCUUUGUUGUACGAGUUGCCUUGUAAUUUCUUGAAUCUUGGAUACAAAACAUUGUACAUAUAAUUAUCAUCGAGUAUGAAUAAAGUUGCACCGGUUUAAAAAAGUUGCCGCCUUUGGCGGUGAAUAAGAGCCUCACCACCUAAAGAGAUUUAUUUAGCGCGGACCAUUAUGAAAUGAAGUUUUAAAAAACUCAAAAAUCAUACUUAAUUUGUAUUGAUGUUAUAA
rnacentral:lncRNA from 1 species